GACGAACGCUGGCGGCGUGCUUAACACAUGCAAGUCGAACGGAAAGGCCCUGCUUUUGUGGGGUGCUCGAGUGGCGAACGGGUGAGUAACACGUGAGUAACCUGCCCUUGACUGUGGGAUAACUUCAGGAAACUGGGGCUAAUACCGGAUAGGAGCUCCUGCUGCAUGGUGGGGGUUGGAAAGUUUCGGCGGUUGGGGAUGGACUCGCGGCUUAUCAGCUUGUUGGUGGGGUAGUGGCUUACCAAGGCUUUGGCGGGUAGCCGGCCUGGGAGGGUGACCGGCCACCUUGGGACUGAGAUACGGCCCAGACUCCUACGGGAGGCAGCAGUGGGGAGUAUUGCACAGUGAGCGGACGCCUGAUGCAGCAACCCCGCGUGCGGGAUGACGGCCUUCGGGUUGUAAACCGCUUUCGCCUGUGACGAAGCGUGAGUGACGGUAAUGGGUAAAGAAGCACCGGCUAACUACGU
rnacentral:rRNA from 1 species